UAACUUGUGUUCCUUCCUGGAUAUUUAACUUCUCAAAAGCUCUAACUUUAUGCGCCGGCAACAAGUGGCUCCGGGGCGCACGAACAGCUUUCCCAAUUGAGAAAGCAGGGUGGCAAAUACAGAAGACCGAGUGGAUAAAUUAUUACCUCUGGACUGUGUUUCUUUGUGGCGGCGCCUGGUGUACAUUUAAGGAAAAUUAUUUUCUAUUUUUGACCGCAGAGUGGAGAAUUUAAAGGGGUUGAAGUGUUGUUUUGGCGCAUGAAUAUUACUAACAAUACAUGCAGAGGCUGGAGCUGAAACGAGUGCACAUGGAGUAAUUUCAACUGUCUUACAGCGCUAGAGUCAAAUAAGACGAGUCACACAAAAAUGGCACUUUAGCAGCCGCCUGUGAUAAACUGUAUUUGUCAAACUAGUGCAUUAGAUGGCGCUGUACAAUGACCCGCCAAUUUCAGUUAGAAGCUGUAACUAAAUAAACCCGAAUUGAAAAACCUCGUUGCGAACUCCCCGUUUAACUCACACUUUAGGUAUUAUCCCUGCAGUUGGUUUCGUCGGGUUCGUGCGUAAAAGCGUACCUUCGCUGUUUGGUUUUAUUGCGCAAUGGUGCGUUUACUGCUCAGCUAACUCGAACAGCCGAAAACACAAUGCUCAUGUGAGUCCAUGAAAAUAUUUACGAGAAGCAUCUGAAUAAUAAGCUGUAGCGAUCCGGCUGGUGGAGGCAGCUGAUAUUUAUCUCGGUGUGAUUUCAGGUGUCUUUCGUAAGACGAUGCAUCACACAACGUACUUGGAAUGCAGUCACCAACGGAAGAGACACAAAAGAGUUUUUAAAGUUACCCUUUGUUUGAAUUUUUAUGUUCUACAAACUCACGUGUCUAAUCUGAAGAAAAGCACGUGUUAAUUUUUUUCAAAACCAGCGUAAAAGCGCAUUUUGAUGGGAGCUGUCGGUAUCUCAAUAUGAUACACGCAUUUGUUGAAAACGAGACAUGUAUUUAUUAAUCUAUCACUAUUUCACCUCCUGCCCUGGGGGAAAUAUAAGUCAGUACUCCAAAAUGUCAGCUGUGACUAAAACUAUCUCGAUCUUGUUUGGUUUUAUGGGCAUUUGUCGUCCAGUCAAUAUAUAUAUAUAUAUAUAUAUAUAUAUAUAUAUAUAUAUAUAUAUAUAUAUAUAUAUAUGCGUGUGUGUGUGUGCGCGCGCGCGCGUGUGAUGGAGCCAGCUGGCCGUCUCUGGCCUCUGAAAACCCCCCUGGUGGACGGAACACGGCGGCCUGACCUCCGCGCCGGAGGACGGGAGAUGCGCCUUUGACUGAAUUAGCCAUAAAGACGUCUUGCUAUGAUCUUUGUUGCUCCUGAAAGCAGAGUGGAUAUGAACGGCAUUGUGCACAGCUUUUGCGUGCCCCAUCAUGAAAUAUUACAGUCUAUUCACAAGGAAGCUCCUUUGAAAAGAUAUGGAAAUGAAGCAGACUGGACUGACUUGGAAGCAAAUUUCAUGGCGACGAUGAAUCGAAACUUAUAAACGGACAAGAAGGCACCAAUUUCUUGUAUUUUCGGAGAAAUCUAAAAGUCUUCCGAAUUCAGUUGGGAUGCUGGAGGCUGUGUGAUGUCUAGAGGAAAAGCUGUAAUUGCUCAGCCUACAUGAGUUGAACCCAGCUAUGAUGUAAGUCAGAUCUUCCAGUGGCUGGUGGCCAGUGCCGACUGGGACAGCUUCCAGCCUCAGAGGACUGCGAUUAACCCAGGAGCGGUCAAACUCGGCAGGACGCCCUCCACAACCAGCCACAGCUAUUUAUCCACUUUCCAAUGAAACCAAUUACUUUUACAGCAAGCCCCAGCGCCAACAUUAUAUGUGUUGUUCUUGCAGACCAAAAGAGUAUGGCUUUGAAAAGAGAGCCAGGCAUGAAGUAGGAAACCCUCCUGAGCUGCUCCAGCAGGCUGUAAAAUAUACCUAAAGUCAGUAUCCAUGGAGACUAGCUGGUGUGUGAGAGCAGCCUGAAGGAUACACGUGGAUAUUAUUACUAUUGCUAUUUACUGUUCUUUGUCUUUUACUUGUUAUUGUAGAGUGUUAGUUUUUACACAGUUUCCUCUGGGAUUAAUACAUGAUUCCGAUUCUGAGUAAUAGUGUUGGAGUUGCUACAAAUUUCCUUCAUGUAGCUACCAGAAGAAAUGUUUUUAAUGUAAAUCUGCUUACACCUUGCUUAUAUUUAUUUAUAUGUUUUACAAUGUGCUUAUUGCAGGACAUCACAGCUUUUAACAAAUUCUGAUAUUUUAGCUUCUUUUUUGAAAAUUAAAUUUCAACAGUUGUAAAAGUCACAGCAUGUUAACUUCAUAGAACUUUUUCAGUCAUUUUCAUCUUCUUUUCACUAUGAAAAUGACCUUGCAGAAACAGAGGGAAAUGCAAGCGCAAGGGCUUUUCUACAAAAAUUGUAUAAGAAAAAUCUAGAAAACAUCCAGUUAUUGUUUGACACAUUAAGGACGCAUUACUUCUUCCAUUAACAUUGAGCUGUGUAAGUGUAAAUGUUCAUUUUACUACUGCUACUCAAGCAAGUUUCAGUCUGAUUUUCACAGAUGCAAGAUCUCGAGCCAAUUAACUUUAAUUUAUAAUUAUUAUAAUUUAAUAUUAAUAAAAAUAUGAUUUUAUCAUUUUAUAAUUUUUAUUUGUUAUGUUAAAAUUUCUUCUCUGUUUUCAGAGUCAAGUGAUUAUAUGACUCACAAAUGCACAGAAAAUACUGCAACCAACACUGCAAAGUGCUGACAAACACAGUAAACCAAAUAGCUUAUAUAAUACAAACCAACCACAAUGGUUGCCCAGGGUAACAUGUUCACAUUGCUUUUGGCAACUGACUUGCUCUGAAAAAUACCCAAAGAUGUUGAGUGCACUGCAGUCUUACAAAUGUUAACUUCUGAGAAUCUGUGACUAAAGAUCAUUUCUGCUUUGUUUGGUGCUGAUUAGCAUUUUCCUUUACUGCUGAACGAAAAUCUAAUGAAGCUCCAUUUAAGGCUUUUGGAGGGCUUUUCUUGACAUUAGAAUCCACAGGCUAACAGUAAAAUGAGGGGGCAUAUUUUUUGAAUUAUGUUGACAAGGUUGUUUUUUUUCUGCAUCUGUCCAAUAAAUGUCAUGUUAAAGUGUUGUUAUUAGGUUACUAGUCGUAAGUAAGGAAAGGACGAGGACAGCAGACUCAGUUAAUAAAGCAGUCAUAUCACUGAUCGCUGGCUGGGCUAAUUGACAGACACAUGAAGAGAAAACUACUAAUUGAUUAUAGGCUUGUCCUAUUCUAGCGCAGGAGGUGACUGAUGGAAAAUGUGAAUUGGCCUGAGAGAUGCUUUAUGCCUAUGUCUACAUUUGGAUUUCUGUUUCGAUGAAAAACUUUCUGCACAGUGCUUUCUGCUUGAAAUUUCUACGUUCUUUAAGGUGCAAUAAAAAAAGUGGUGGUUUUUAUAGUUAUUUGUGUGUCUUGACAGUUGUGCUGUCACUUAGCAGAGGGUCUCCAGGCUUUCUAAUACAGUCCCACUGAGCUUAUAUCCAAAAGAAGUAUUUACUUUUAACCAAGUGAAGCCUGAACCAUGAAAUGUUUUUUUGAAACUGGGAUGUUUACUGAGCCUUCUGACCAAUAAAAAAUAAAUAAAUAAAUGAAAUAUCAGUUUACAUAUAUGAGCAUUGAUUUGCAUAAAUUCUGCUACAUCUGACUGUAUACAUCAGGCUUUUCAGGAAAAAUUAUACUAAGUAGGGGUCCCACAAACCCAUGUAUAAAACACGAUACUCUUGGCUUUACAGGAUCAGCUUUUCUAUUCUAAUCUGGUUUGAAUGUAGAGAACAGUGUAACUGCACAGCAUGG
ensembl:lncRNA